ensembl:lncRNA
AUGUAUGACAGCACAUUUUUAAAGUUUUGGGUUACCUCUGUUGUAGAUUUAUGUAUUUAUUUUGUAAGUUAUAUUUUAGAACUUAUAUUGUAUUUUUUUAUUGCAGAUGUAGUUACAGUCUUGUUCAGUGUUGCAACAUCCUCUGCAAAGGAAAGUGUCCAUCGUGCCAGAGAGAGCCACAACGCAGGUUUCAAUGGACAGAUGGAAGGCAGCCAUCAUCUGCACUGGUGUGGAAAUGUGUCUUACAAGGUCUCAGGAAGUUCCUGCUGUAAUGGUAAUAUAACUCUGGGAUUAAGCCAGCUGGUGGCUGACUGCUGUGGUUCUGUAGCUUACAAUCCACUUAAUGAGAUUUGCUGUAAUGGCAGUAUUCUGACUCGAAGCAGCACUUACGCGAAAUGCUGUGGCAAAGACAUGUACUUGACAACGACUCAUGUGUGUUGUGGUAAAAACAACAUAUUUCAAUGGGAGGAAAAUCAUUCUUGUUGUGGCGAGAAAACAUAUGACGAGACAAUCCACUGCUGCUGUAGUAACCCUACACCAGUAGUAAAGCAUAAAAAUGAAACUUGCUGUCUAAAAGCAAAAGAUCAUGAUAAAAAAACAGAACACCAGCCAGGCUCUCCUCCAACUCGCCCUCUGCCCAUAUUAUCAGACUUGAUUUGUGGAUCAGAAACCUACAAUCCCCAUAAACAAAUGUGUUGCUCAGGGAAUCUGUAUAAGGCAUCAGCACUUACUAAGUGCUGUGGUGGAGAUGCUUACACUCUGUCAGAUGACAAUGUGCUGUGCUGUAAUGGAAUCCUUCAUCUCAAUGUGCCUGAGCAGUCUGAGUGUGUUGGAGGUGUUAUAUAUACUCCAGCAAACACUACUUGCCAAAUGUCGACCCGUCCUCGUCUUGGAGAGCACUGCUGUGGAGGACAAACCUUCAAUCCUCACACGCAUAUUUGCUGUAAUGGUCACAGCCACAACAAGAUGAAUGGCCAUUUCUGCUGUGGUUCAGAAGUCUAUGACCACCACAACCAGUUCUUGAAAUGCUGCUCAGGUCAUCUCUACAACCUAACCCAUUUAAGUGGAAAAGCAGAGUGCUGUGGAAACCUAUUGCUGCAAAAUAAUAAAAAAAUUUGCUGUUCCUCCUCAACCAAUUCCAUAAUGUAUGAUACCAAACCAAACCACCAUUGCUGUGGGCAUUACUACUACAACACGUCCUUGUGGAGCUGCUGUGCUGAACGUCUCAAACCAACACCAAAGCCUAACAGCCUUCGUGCAGAAUACAGACUUAAACCACUAAGGGACCUGAUCCCUGAAAUGUGCAAUAAAACAGUGUUCUUUGGCAAAGUGGAGAGUGUGGCACUUGAAAAUGAUAUGCGUCAUGUGUUGUUGAAAGUUGUGUGGCAAGUCAACAUGAAAUCAGAAAAGGUCAUCAAAGACCCUUGGCUUCAUGUGUCCCUGGAUCACUGCAGCUUUCCUGCCACAGACAACGGCAAAACCUACCUUUGGGAGAAAAACCACAAUGGGAAGCCUGUGCUUCUCUCUCAACCUGUUGACCUAACAGCUGACAUUUACAUGUUAUAUUAUGUAUGUUACCAAAAGAAGGGAUAG